AGCCAUGCAUGUCUAAGUAUAAGCUUUUAUACGGUGAAACUGCGAAUGGCUCAUUAAAACAGUUAUAGUUUAUUUGAUGGUCUCUUUUACAUGGAUAACCAUGGUAAUUCUAUGGCUAAUACAUGCGCACUGGCCUCCUUCUCUGGAGGGGCUGUGUUUAUUAGAUACAAAACCAACCCACAUUGUGGAGUCCUGGUGAUUCAUAGUAACCGAACGGAUCGCAGUUGGCUUCGGCCCGCGAUGGAUCUUUCAAGUUUCUGACCUAUCAGCUUUCGACGGUAGGGUAUUGGCCUACCGUGGCAGUGACGGGUAACGGGGAAUUAGGGUUCGAUUCCGGAGAGGGAGCCUGAGAAACGGCUACCACAUCUAAGGAAGGCAGCAGGCGCGCAAAUUACCCAAUGGAAACAGUUUCGAGGUAGUGACGAGAAAUAACAAUACAGGGCAUUUUAUGCUCUGUAAUUGGAAUGAUGGGAAUGUAAAACCCUUCCAGAGUAACAAUUGGAGGGCAAGUCUGGUGCCAGCAGCCGCGGUAAUUCCAGCUCCAAUAGUGUAUAUUAGAGUUGUUGCAGUUAAAAAGCUCGUAGUUGGAUUUCUGUCGUGGUCAUCCGGCUCCGCCUGUAUGGGUGUGCGCCUGGUUUGCCCUCGGCUUUCU
rnacentral:rRNA from 1 species